rnacentral:lncRNA from 1 species
CCAUUCUACCAGCAAGUCAUUACAUUUCUUUGUACCUCAGUUUCUUCAUCUGUAAAACAGGGCUAAUAAUAUUAACUACUUCACAGAGUUCUUGUGAGAAUUUUUUUGAGACAGGGUCUUGCUCUGACACCCAGGCUGCAGUGCAGUGGCAUGAUCAUAGCUCACUGCAACCUCAAACUCCUGGGCUCAAGUGAUCCUCCUGCUUGAAAGGUCAGUGAAUUAGCAGGAGAUUUCUUAGCAGAUUGUUCCAAAAAAAGUAAGAAACUACUAUGAUUUAAUAUAAAGAAAAUUAAACUAGGAAUCCUAACAAUGACUUGGGUUUCCAUCUGAAUCUACCACUAGCUGCUUAUGUAACCUUGGCCUAGCUAAUCUAGGCCUCUAAGUCCCCAGCUAUAAAACAGAAAUACCUUGUCUUUACAUAACUCAAAGCAUAUACAACCAAAGGAUUUUGCCAUUGCAAAACG